GGACCUGGUUCCUAGAUAAUUCCGGAAGUGACAUCCUGAGUCACCUCUCCAUACCAUAGAGCUGGAAGGGGUUGCUGUCAGGGGUCCAGGAACUCCUCUGCCUAGAAAGGAAAGUUAGCAGUGACCAACUGGGAGAGGGACAAGAGCAUGUGGCUGGAUUGGAAGUGGCCACGAAGGUCACAUCUGGCUUGGUGUCCUCACCUCCUGACAUAGGGGUCUGAGUAUCUCCAGUGAUCCCUGCCAGCAUCCACGAGACAGGCAAGAGAAAGAGUGCUUUGUGAAGGCCCUGCAGCAGAAGACAGACACAGAAGUAGAACUUCACGAAGAAGCUUGAUCCCAGGGCCACUGGAGUCUGAGGACCAGGUUUAGGUUUAGGAUGGAGAGCCAUGAUAAUCCAGAAAAUAAUGAGAUAGAUGCCUGAAUUGAUGCCUGUGCCAGAUACCAUCUUCUUCAGCAAUGUGGUUUUACCCUUGACUUCCAGAAAGGAAGGAAGAGCAAUGGCAGCAGUCUUUAAUGAUUGGGGAGUAUGUAUGA
rnacentral:lncRNA from 1 species